GAUCAAGGAGGCCGGCAGACUACCCGGAAGAGGACGACACUCAGAUGGAACAGAAGUAAGGACAAAGUAAGGACGGAAUGAAUGUCAUGAAGAAAACCCACGAAGCAGUGUUAUUCUGGCCAUUGAGUGAGGAGGAAUGAGUUCAUUUGUACAAUUAAAUGAACUGAAGCAAACCAAGAGCAGUUGAAAGCCAAUCAAGCCGUGAUCUCUCCCAGUCCUAGUAAUCACAGCCAGCUCUGCCUGACCCCAGAAGGCAUGCGGUGUCUCCUGAAGGUUUCCUGGAAUCCUUUCUUUUAAAAUGCAAUACAAUCAAGGAAAGUUCA
rnacentral:lncRNA from 1 species